rnacentral:lncRNA from 1 species
CACCUGACCCAUCUCCUCGUCUGCCGCCACCCACUUCUCCUGCUUCGCCACCGCCUGCAUCACAGCCUCCUCCACCUCCACGCCGUCCGCCGCAGCGAUUGCCUUGAGCACCUUGCCCCACGCCGCGCGCACGUACGCCUCCACGUGCCGCCGCGCCGCAUCUUGGGCUUCACCGUCGUCGUCCCCGAGAGAUGGAAUUUUGGCCACUUUCCUGGCCACGUAGUGCGUGUUGUUCGCCAUGAAGAGGUGCCUCAGCGCCGCCUCUCGGUAGCUCCCCGCCUUGGCCUCAAUUUUGCGCAUCAGGACCUGCACCAACCAACCGAUGGACCACGAUCUCUCCGGCGAUCCCUGUUGCUGGUUUAUGCGGUCAAGGGCUCCCUCGUAGUCGGCCAGGAAGACGAGCGCGUCAGCGGGUGCACUCCGCCGCCGGCCACCGUGGCCUUGGACGGCUCCUUCUCGAUGGCCACCUCCAAGUUGGCCAGCGCUCCCCGCGCCGCCUCACCGGCUUUGAACAGAGCAGAGCAGCCACGCUUCGCCACCUCUGACCUGUCACCGAACACCGACAUGAUUUCGGGCAGGAUCUCGGUGAGAGCGUCGUGCACGUCCAGCACACGGAACAGCCGCUCCGGCGCGCGGCGCGCUCGCGCCACCGCGGCCUCAGCGACGUCCAGGAGAUUUGCUGCCUGGUUGUUGGCCACGUCCUCGAACACCGCGUCGCCGACGGAGGCGUCACCGGCGAAUACGUGUCGCAGAGCUCCUUCUCCGCGGGAAGACGGACGAGAAGGCGAUUCGUGCCGCGGCGAGCCAGGACUGUAUGUUGUCGUCGACCUGCUCCCAGGUAAGCUUGCUGAGCUGCACCUGCACGGUGGUGUGUUGGCGGCGGAGCGUGGCGGCCAGCGCUGCGCGGCGAUGCUCCUUGAAGGUGGAGAUGCACUCCUUGCCAUAGCCGGCGGACAUCAUGGUGUCGGCGAGCGCACGGAGGCGGUCCCGACUGCCUGCAGGUGGUGGUGCGAGGAGUCGUGGGAGCUCGAGCUGAAGCCUCCGCAUGGCCGUGUCGAGGAGAUGAUGGGCCUGGACGAGGCCGUGGCCGUUGUGGGCGUUGGUGGGGUCGGAGGCGAAGAAGAGCAUGGCUCGGUGGAGGUCGGCGGCGGCGCGGAGGAAGUGGUCGGCCUCCGGGGAGGAGGCAUGGAGGAAGAGAGAGGAGUGGUGGUCAUCAGGAUGCCACUUGGAAACCAGCGUGGCCGCAGCGGCGAUGGUUUCCUCGACGACGGUGGUGGACAGCGUGCGGCGGUGGCGCUGCAUAUCGCCGAUCAAUCGACUCAUCAUCUGCUCCGUUGUUGUGGCGGCUACCAGAGCUAUAUACUCGACUCGAGAUAG